GACGGGGGGGCAAGUGUUCUUCGGAAUGACUGGGCGUAAAGGGCACGUAGGCGGCGAAUCGGGUUGAAAGUGAAAGUCGCCAAAAAGUGGCGGAAUGCUCUCGAAACCAAUUCACUUGAGUGAGACAGAGGAGAGUGGAAUUUCGUGUGUAGGGGUGAAAUCCGUAAAUAUACGAAGGAACGCCAAAAGCGAAGGCAGCUCUCUGGGUCCCUACCGACGCUGGGGUGCGAAAGCAUGGGGAGCGAACAGG
rnacentral:rRNA from 1 species